ACUGAUUGCUAGACAUAGCAUAUGCUCUUCGCACAAAGUGACAACGGGGGCUGCACGUCUGUCGUCGCGUGUGGCGAGAUAUGGUGUUUUAUCUCCCGCAGCGCGCGCCCCCUUUUUUACUAUUUACUAACGGUUCGGCGGACUCCUCUAAGAAGACUGCUUUCGUAAGGGGGAGGAGGGGGAGGAACACCUCAAGUCCUCGCGCCCUUUACCGGGAGGGACACACGCGUGCUACAAUGGGAUGUAAAAAGAGACGCAAUCCCGGGGGGGGGAGAAUAUCUAAAAAACAUCCCUCAGUUCGGAUUGGAGUCGCCCCCCCCCCUACAUGAGGCUGGAAUCAUUAUUAAUCGUAAAUCAGCCGUGCUACGGAGAAUACCCUCCCGUGUUCUGCCACACAAAAGAG
rnacentral:rRNA from 1 species